rnacentral:piRNA from 1 species
UGUGUGUGUGUGUGUGUGUGUACACG